AUCAGACAUUACACAAGCAGGACAGAGCAGCUGACACUUGACACCUUCACUCAGACAUACAAGUCCAGCUAAAGUCGGGCGAGACUUGUAAACAAACAUUUCAAACUAAAGAGAAAUCCUGUUUGGUUCAAACACACAGACAUUUGAAAUGGAUGAAAUGUCAUAUUGCUCUUUCUCUGGUGGAGAAGAAUACAAAAAUCACUUCCUACCUGGCAUUUAUGUUUGCUCUGAAUGCGGGCACAAGUUAUUUUCCAGCAUGUCAAAGUUUGAGCACUCUACUCCCUGGCCGGCCUUUUCACAGACAAUUCACGAGGACAGUGUCACCAAACACCCUGAAGCAUGGGGACCCCUAAAGGUUAGUUGUGGGAAGUGUGGCAAUGGAUUGGGCCAUGAGUUCUUGUACGAUGGACCAAAGGAAGGGCUAUCCCGCUUCUGAAUAUUCAGCAGCUCACUCACAUUCAUCCCUAAAGAAAAGGUUGAUGGAUAGAAGGGUGAGCUGUGAAAGUGAAGAAAGCCUUCUGCUGCUGAAGGUGCUGACAGUUGAUGAAGGGCCUUGGAACAAAGCCUAAUGGAGCUCCAGGGCUCUGAUGGACAUUGGCCUCACUGUGCAGCAAGAACAGACCAGUCUCAACCACUUUUAAACCAGGUCUCAAUUCUACCACAUUAAACUGUACAACGGAACAAAAACGA